rnacentral:rRNA from 1 species
UACGAAGGGGGCUAGCGUUGCUCGGAAUCACUGGGCGUAAAGCGCACGUAGGCGGAUUGCUAAGUCAGGGGUGAAAUCCUGGAGCUCAACUCCAGAACUGCCUUUGAUACUGGCAAUCUCGAGUCCGGGAGAGGUGAGUGGAACUGCGAGUGUAGAGGUGAAAUUCGUAGAUAUUAGGAAGAACACCAGUGGCGAAGGCGGCUCACUGGCCCGGUACUGACGCUGAGGCGCGAAAGCGUGGGGAGCAAACAGG